CCUACGGGAGGCUGCAGUGGGGAAUAUUGGACAAUGGGGGGAACCCUGAUCCAGCCAUGCCGCGUGUGUGAAGAAGGCCCUCGGGUUGUAAAGCACUUUCAGUGAGGAAGAACGCCUGGUGGUUAAUACCCAUCAGGAAAGACAUCACUCACAGAAGAAGCACCGGCUAACUCCGUGCCAGCAGCCGCGGUAAUACGGAGGGUGCGAGCGUUAAUCGGAAUUACUGGGCGUAAAGCGCGCGUAGGUGGCUUGAUAAGCCGGUUGUGAAAGCCCCGGGCUCAACCUGGGAACGGCAUCCGGAACUGUCAAGCUAGAGUGCAGGAGAGGAAGGUAGAAUUCCCGGUGUAGCGGUGAAAUGCGUAGAGAUCGGGAGGAAUACCAGUGGCGAAGGCGGCCUUCUGGACUGACACUGACACUGAGGUGCGAAAGCGUGGGUAGCAAACAGGAUUAGAUACCUCUGUAGUC
rnacentral:rRNA from 1 species